UUACUAGGGCAUGUGAAUCACAAAGUGAGUUGCGAUUGAUUGAUAAGUUGUAAUCCUUUUCCAUCGUGACCUAAGGUGAGUCUCUCACAAUACUUCUCCUUUUUCACAUGUUUUAGGGUGAAAAUACAUGCAAAUGCUUUUAUAAAUGACGAAUCACUUUGAUUUGUAUUAUAUCACUAAAUUAUCUAACAUAUAUGGGUAUAGUCGGUACCAUAACCAUAUGAAAGUUGGAUUCAACACAUGAUUGGUCCCGAAAGGUUGUGUGUGUGACUGUAUAUGCUGUCAUACAUUCAAGUGUGCUGAUGAUCGCUCUAUGGGAUUUUAUUUGACUUGUGUUUAUGAUAUUUAUAAUACACUGACAUCGCAAAACUUUUAUAUGUGUCAGUUUGUCGUGAACUUACUGCCUUUAUGUUGCGUGUGUUUUUAGUAGUAUUACAUAAUAACAAUAACAAUUGAGGUAUGAUCUUAGGAACAGUGCCGCUUUUGUUUUUAAUGGUUUUUAUCUUAUUGCAAAGUUUAUUUUAAUUGUUUUUUAGUUAAUUUAGUUAAAGUGGUUUAUAUAGUCUUCAAGUUUUGUCCUUUUUUUCUUUAGGUUAAAGCUUUUUCUGUCUAAAUUCAAGUUUGUCUAUGUUUUAUUCCAACUCACAACAAACUCGAAUUAUGUACAAAAAAGGCUUUAUAUUUGUCUACAUUUUACGGUGCGGAACGGUAUAAAUUCACGUGGCAGUAUAGAUUAAUUUUUUUUGUUAUAUAUUUCUCAAUUUUGACCUUCGUUUGCUUAUACUUAGCAUGGUUUUACGACUCACGUGCCCGCAACAUGGGUUUUAAACACUAGUUUUCAUAAAAUUAUAAGAGUUGUAGUGGUCACAUUAAUGGUCUUUAGGAGGCUUGGUUAAGUGGUGUAAGUGAAGUCAGAGAUUUUUUGUAUUCCCAUUUUGUUAUUUCACUUUUAGGAUUUAUAAAUAUCUCGUGUGUUAAAAGACAUCAUUAUGUUAAUGACGAAUGAUGUAUUGAACUAGUAUUCAUCUGUGAAUAUCAUACUUUAAUAGCUGCUGCGUAUUUGAUUGAUAACAGUCGAUCAUAUAUUGACCUGCUAAGACAGGGUGUGAGAUUAUCUGUAAUUUGGAGAGGACUGAAUCAAUUUUAUUGAAUGACCAAGUAAUACAAGCCCUAAUAUAUAUGUUAGAAAAGGAAAAAAUAAUUUAGAGAAAAUUGUUGAUUACUCAAGAUCAUCUCCACAUUUAUCAUUGUAUUUCCUUUUUAUUCGUUCUUGUAAAGCCUAUAAAUAAAGAAAGAAUGUUGGAAUUUGGGGCUGCAAGGAUUGCGGCAAAGUCGAAAAGGCAAAGGCUUGGUUUUAUGUUAUGAAUGCAAGAAUUAUAUCAAUAAAGUUUCAGUUCUUUUCGAUUAUCUUUUAUCUCUGAUUAUCAUUUUCAACAAUAUAUAUACAUAACAUCAGCUCUCUAACAGAUUACCAGCUCACUAACCAACUUAUUAACAAACUAACUAAUUAAAUACAUGAGGGGUAAAAUAGUAAAAACAUUAUAAAGCUAGUCAAAAUAGAAAUUGACUUAUAUAAAGUCAACAUCCCCCCCUCAAGUUGGUGGUAUAGUCGUAUAGAAACACCCAACUUGUGCAAUAAAUCGCGAUGUUGUGGUGUAGCCAAACUCUUAGUAAAAAUGUCUGCAACUUUGGUAUUCGAGUGAGUAUGAGAUGAGGAAAUCAAGCCUUCUUGCAAUUUUUCGCGUACAAAAUGACAAUCAAGCUCGAUGUGUUUAGUUCGCUCGUGGAAAA
rnacentral:lncRNA from 1 species